rnacentral:rRNA from 1 species
AGAACGAACGCUGGCGGCAGGCCUCAAACAUGCAAGUCUAGGGGGUGUAGCAAUACAUCACCGGCGGACGGGUGCGUAACACGUGGGAAUAUACCUUUUGGUUCGGAACAACGCAGGGAAACUUGCGCUAAUACCGAAUGUGCCCUUACGGGGAAAGAUUUAUCGCCAAAGGAUUGGCCCGCGUAGGAUUAGCUAGUUGGUGAGGUAAUGGCUCACCAAGGCUCCGAUCCUUAGCUGUUCUGAGAGGAAGAUCAGCCACACUGGGACUGAGACACGGCCCAGACUCCUACGGGAGGCAGCAGUUGGGAAUCUUGGACAAUGGGGAAACCCUGAUCCAGCCAUGCCGCGUGAGUGAUGAAGGCCUUCGGGUUGUAAACUCUGUCGGAGGGAAGAACACAAUGACGGUACCCUCCAAGAAACGCCCCGGCUAACUACGUGCCAGCAGCCGC